UACGUAGGGGGCGAGCGUUGUCCGGAUUUAUUGGGCGUAAAGAGCUCGUAGGCGGUUUGGCAAGUCGGGUGUGAAAACUCCGGGCUCAACUCGGAGACGCCACUCGAUACUGCUAUGACUCGAGUCCGGUAGGGGAGUGCGGAAUUCCUGAUGUAGCGGUGAAAUGCGCAGAUAUCAGGAGGAACACCGGUGGCGAAGGCGGCACUCUGGGCCGGUACUGACGCUGAGGAGCGAAAGCGUGGGGAGCGAACAGG
rnacentral:rRNA from 1 species